rnacentral:rRNA from 1 species
CGACCGGCGCACGGGUGAGUAACACGUAUCCAACCUGCCGAUAACUCGGGGAUAGCCUUUCGAAAGAAAGAUUAAUAUCCGAUAGCAUAUCAAGAUCGCAUGAUCUUGAUAUUAAAGAAUUUCGGUUAUCGAUGGGGAUGCGUUCCAUUAGUUAGUUGGCGGGGUAACGGCCCACCAAGACAACGAUGGAUAGGGGUUCUGAGAGGAAGGUCCCCCACAUUGGAACUGAGACACGGUCCAAACUCCUACGGAAGGCAGCAG